GAUGAACGCUGGCUGCGGGCCUAAUACAUGCAAGUCGAGCGAACAGACCAUGAGCUGGCUCCUCUUGCUGUAGCGGCGGACGGGUGAGGAACACGUGGAUAACCUAACUAUAAGACUGGGAUAACUUCGGGAAACCGGAACUAAGACCAGAGAAUAUAGUGAACCGAAGGGGUCAUUAGUAAAAGACGGUUUUUCUGUCAGUUAUGGAUGGAUCUGCGCCGGAUUAGCUAGUUGGUAAGGUAACGGCUUACCAAGGCAACGAUGCGUAGGAGACCUGAGAGGGUAGUAGGCUACCCCGGAUCUGAGCCAAGGCCCAGACUAAUAGGCGAGGCAGCAGUACGGAAUCUUACGCAAUGGGAGAAAGCAUGGCGGAGAAACGCCGAGUGAGUGAUAAAGGUCUUCGGAUAGUAAAACUAUGUUAUUAGGGAAGAACAAAUGUGUAAGUAACUAUGCACGUCUUGACGGUACCUAAUCAGAAAGCAACGGCUAACUCCGUG
rnacentral:rRNA from 1 species